AAAAUUUGUACUGAAUCCUUAGA
rnacentral:miRNA from 1 species